GCUGUUUGGUCUUUUGCAAGCAAAGUAAUUUUAUUUGUUUUUAAAGCUUUUUUUCACUUGCCGCGGCCAGUUUAAAGUAUUUUUGUGUGAAAUACAAGUCUGAUCGCGAUAUUGAAGUGUGCAUCUUGGUGUGCAAAAUCGAUUUUCCAAUCAGAGUUACACCGGAGACGUCCCACGUUGUGCCAAUGGCAAAAAUUUUUCGCUGCAAGCUGCAACGGGUGAGAAUGUUUCGUCGGAUCUGGGCCCAAACUGAACGUCCUGUUUUAUUGGAAGGUGUCCACCGAAUCGCCGGCAUCACAGAAUCGGUCAACAAGGCGUCGGCCAUUUUCGGCUUCCCUUGGUAUCGAGACUUAGGGCUACCAGCAUCGAAGCCGGAAAAUCACUUGGCCGUCUUGGUCGAACUGCGAAAUGCUUCCUACGGGCUGGAGGCUUCGAUGGUAUGAGUGGCUCACCAUGGGAAAAAAGUGUACCUUCAGCGCGAAGUGCUUUGGGCACGAUCGUCGAAUCGAAAUGACCUGAAACGACCAAACAUUGCGACACGGGAUAGCGAUCCGAAGAAAUUUAUCCGGUAAUCAAAGAUUUUUGCGGUAGUGAAUGAAAUUUAAUAAAAGUAUGUUUUACAAAUG